AUCUUGUUCCUUUAGCGGGGAAUACAGGGCAAGUGUUGUACUGUAAAAAUUAAGCCUCCCAUGGUUCUAUAUAAUAUGAAACUCUUUCCUAGAAAGCUAGCUUGUUAUCUGGUGGCAGUAGUUCAGCUAGUGACCAUAUUGAGCAAGCAUGAAGUAUUGUUUGAACAUCUUUUUGUUUUUUUUGGUGCCAGGUAACCUCUGACGGUGAGGAUGGGCAGUGACGGGUUUAGGAGGGUGGUGUCGACAACUUUCCUCAACUCGGAGGAUGCUGGUGACAAGAAUGACUACGGAUACUAGGUGCCCCGCCCCCGCCCCCGCCCCCAGCAUGUUACCGCCACCCCCUCGAAUCCGGUUCUUCUCCCCUCAGAGCAAGACAACCAUCGUACGAUAAGGGAGACCAAAUUGAUGAAAAGGGAGACAUAAUUCACUGAAAAUACUCAUGUCAGGUAGGUUUUUUGCAGAUUUGGAGUAGCAGGAAAUGCAAUUGUCGAUUAUAGCUGCACUUUGAUCUUUUCCAGGUAUGAUUCCUUCUUCAGGUGGACUAAAAUUUAGGUCGGGAAGAACCAUCUUGGUGAUCUGAUGCUGCUGGGGACCUGAGGAGAAGGAGCCGACGCGGAAGAGAAGCUGGCGAGGAGCAACGAGCCUGGAGGUGCUUUCCCUGGCCUUCUCCCCUGGCCAGGGUGGGAUCGUUGACGCGGAAUUGCGGCCAGGGGGAAGCUUCCCGUGGGCGACGCCUGGCAAGUUGGGCGAGGAGGCCAUGGGCGACGUCGACGCGGGGAAGGCAUCCGAUGUGCUGGGCGAGGCUGGUACUGGGCGCUAACGAGGGGGAGAAGGGAGGUGCGCUGCUGGGCGAGCAGAUCUUGGGCAGCGACGCGGGGUAGAAGAAGGCGAGCUGGUCCGGGCGGCAACGCCGGGAAGAAGGUGGGCGGCGAUGCGGAGAAGGUGGAUGGGGAAGAAGAACCGAUCCCGAUCAAAUUUAAGACGAUCGAGGGCAAACUUGUACUUUUUCUCAUUUUCACCUGGUCGGAAAAUACCCCCAGCGUCUUACAUAUCGGAACGGAGGGAGUAGUGAUUUGCUCUGAUUGGUAGUGUUAUCCUAUCUUUUCUUUUGAUAUGCUUACCCUCUUCCAUGGCUGGUUUUCCUAGGAAUUUAUGUAUUUACUUUGGCUAGAAACAUGGUUUUUGGCCAGAUUUGGAGCAAUCUUGUGAUGUGUCUGACUUUA